rnacentral:ncRNA from 2 species
ACUAUAUAUAGUGUUCUAGGUUCUUUCGAUUCGAUGAGUCGAAAGCUAAGAGGGAAUUCGGUGAGUCGCUGCCAUGAGGGUUGAGACGAAGCCGAAGCUGCCCCCGCAACUGUAAGCGGUGAGUUCUUGUUGAUCAUGUCACUGGCGUAAGCUGGGAAGACCGACAAGAGCGCUGACCCGUGAGCCAGGAGACCUGCCUUGAGCAAUGAACGUCC